ensembl:lncRNA MIR4435-2HG MIR4435-2 host gene
UUUUUUUUUUUUCCUUCUUAGUCGUGUGUACAUCAUUGGGAAUGGAGGGAAAUAAAUGACUGGAUGGUCGCUGCUUUUUAAGUUUCAAAUUGACAUUCCAGACAAGCGGUGCCUGAGCCCGUGCCUGUCUUCAGAUCUUCACAGCACAGUUCCUGGGAAGGUGGAGCCACCAGCCUCUCCCUGACAAGCAAAGUGGAUCAGCAAAGGCUGCAGUCACCAGCAUCUUUUCCAACCUUAAUGAACUGUAUCCUCAAAAGAACACUAUCAGACUGGCUCUGCCGACUUCCAGUUCUGGAACAAGAUGGUUAAACUCAUUUUUCCCUGCUCUGCUCCUCUAAAUACAACUAAGUACCUUGGAAACUAUUCAGCAGACAAUGAUAAAGGGCUCUGAAAGCUAGAAGAAAAGGUGUACUUGCAAGAAACCUCAGGACUUGAGUAACAGCAACAUGAUCUUGUUCUCACUAGAGAAUAAUUUCUACAUUAUGCCCAGGUUCUUCUGAGCUAUGAAGGGGCCCAGAUUUAAGGGCUAUUUUUGACACCCUAAAUGUGCUGAGACAAGUCAUUAAGGUGGUCCUGCCAGGACACAGCCAUCUAAAGCAGCAAUCUGCUUCUUGCCAGAAAAUCUCGUGCCUCUGCAGAGCCUUUUCCAGAAUGAACCACACCAUGCUGAGGAAAGGAGAAAGAGACUACCUACUGCAUUUCUGUCACUCGCUGAAAAGGACACUCUGUCAGAAAAUCUUCUAGCAAACUUCAAAGGGCAAAAUCACCCCUUGUUACUGAUAAAGCCCAGAGAGCUUCAGCAGCUAACAUUCCCUGGACAGGGCACAGCAAGGAUUUGAACCUAGGUCAGUCUGGCCAGAACACCCACAAGCUUUCCUUAACUCAGUGUGCUAUCUCCCCACGACUAGGUCACUACUGCUUUAUAAUCACCUUUGUAGCCACCAGUGGAUUUUGCUCAUCAGUAUUUUUCAGGCAAUUGAUACUUUAGAUAUUCAGCUGCAAGACGUAUGCAGUUUUCAUUGACAUCUUUUGGAGAAACUGACAAACCUGGACUUGACUUAAUGCCUUUGGAACCUUCCAAGAUGUUAUAUAACUCUAGAUAGAAGGCUGGGCCUCCAUGAUGUCAGGAAUGUUGCAUUCUUAUUUCCCCAUAGAUAAACCCAUUUGUCCACAAAGUCAAGGAGUCAGGCAGAGGCCCUUGCCAUGGGGCUUUUUAGGAUAAAGCAACAAGCCUGGACUUUGCUCUACAACAGGGUUUUGCAUAGGGAGUGGUAUGACCAGAUCCCUCAAGAAAGAAAGCUUAGAGACCAGGCCAGAGUCCACUGCAGUAGCCCAGUCAAGAGAGGAUGGUGACUUGGACUUGUAGUAGAGCCAGUUAGAAUGAAAGAAAUUGACACAUUCAGAAAUGGUUUUAGAGAUAGAGUCAAACUGGACCUGAUAAAGAACUAGAGAAGCGGAGUGAGGAUAAAGAGAAGAGCCAUGACUGACUCGGAAGAUUUUGUCUUGAAAAACUUGAGAACUCAAGACAGAGUGAAAUAAAAUCACAUGUGGGAAAAA